rnacentral:rRNA from 1 species
GACGAACGCUGGCGGCGUGCUUAACACAUGCAAGUCGAACGGAAAGGCCCUGCUUUUGUGGGGUGCUCGAGUGGCGAACGGGUGAGUAACACGUGAGUAACCUGCCCUUGACUUUGGGAUAACUUCAGGAAACUGGGGCUAAUACCGGAUAGGAGCUCCUGCUGCAUGGUGGGGGUUGGAAAGUUUCGGCGGUUGGGGAUGGACUCGCGGCUUAUCAGCUUGUUGGUGGGGUAGUGGCUUACCAAGGCUUUGGCGGGUAGCCGGCCUGAGAGGGUGACCGGCGACAAUGGGACUGAGAUACGGCCCAGACUCCAACGGGAGGCAGCAGUGGGGCAUAUUGCACAAUGGGCGGAAGCCUGAUGCAGCAACGCCGCGUGCGGGAUGACGGCCUUCGGGUUGUAAACCGCUUUCGCCUGUGACGAAGCGUGAGUGACGGUAAUGUGUAAAGAAGCACCGGCUAACUACGUG